rnacentral:tRNA from 1 species
GGGCCUCUAGCUCAUCCGGUAGAGCACCGGGCUUUUAACCCGGCGGGCUGGGUUCGAGUCCCAGGGGGCCCA